GGUUUUUUUCAGUCAAGCAUUGAUUCAGAGGCUUGUAAUGAAAUGGAUAGUGAGAGAAAGCGCGGAGCUUAUGCAGCUGUGAGCCUCCUCUCCGCCAUCUUAACCGGAAGUCCCAGAUUUGUUGUUAUUAAAAUAAUUUCCUUCAUCCUAUUUUCAUACCAAAUUCCUCUUAAUAUGGCAAGAAACAUAUAAUGUUUUGUUAUCACUCUGUUGUUAAUAUGGCCAAGUAUCCCUGAGUCUACUGUCAUGGGGAUACAAGGAUGGAAAAAACAAAACAACAAAACAAAAAAGUGUUUCAUAUAGUAGCCACUUAAUUACCAAGGAGAUAUCACUUAAUUUUGAACCUUCUUUUCAAGGAGUAUGGUUCAGUUAGAACAAAUUCAAACUAAGUUUAGCUAAAUAAGGGAUGAUUGUGGUAGGGGAUAUUUUUAACUCAUACUCUAGUAAGCAAGAGAAGCUGUUGACUAAGGCACUGAAGUAAGAAAGGUGAUCAUGGAAGGAGCCAAGAAGAUCUUCUCUAAAAUCUAAGAUGAGGGGUGGGAAAUCUUUGGAUAACAAGAUUGUUUGAAGCCUUAAUUAAAUAGAUUCACUAGGAGAUAAUUUUAGCAGUACUAGUUGUAGUAAUAAGCUCUAUAUUUCUCUUGCUAAAAAUUGUUUAGCAUGCUUUGUCAAGUAACUAACAUGAUUUGUAAUUUUUAACUUAGAGCAAAAGUCUAGUUCUUCUAUUUCUAAGGACGAUUGAGAUUAAACUAUGGGAGAGGAUUCUGAGAAGAUGAUGAAGUAAGACAGAAGUCUUCAAAUUCUCCAAAAUUUCCUCCACAAAAAAAAUGAAAGAAGACUUAUGAAUGAAAAUUGAAAAACUUUCAGUUAUUUGUGACAAAAAGGACAGAACUUAAUGGAAAUUUUAACAUAUACGAUCCAGAAGAAAUAUAAAAUACUUAAGAAGAUAGAAUACUUCAGUGGAAAGAAUAUCAACUUUCAAAUCAGAGGACCUGGUUUUGAAUCCUUGACACUGACCUGUAUUACCUUUUGGACACUGGGCAAGUUACUUAAUCUUUAAAGCAGAUUAUUGGAGGAGAAAGAAAAAACAAGACUUUCUGAGACUGUUCAUGCUCUCCUCAUGAAAAAGAUGGAAAAAUGAGGACCAGAUGAUGGACUUUAAUUUCCUCAACAAGAAAAUGGGAUUGGAGGGGAGCUGAGAAUAUUAAGAAAAAAUUAUUUCCAAAAUCCUAUCCAGUUAUAAAUCUCUCUAUCUCUAUAGUAGUUUAUCCUGGCGAUUGGACUAGGGGAAAAAAUAAAACAAACAAUAAUCAAAAUUA